CCCUUAGAUGUCCUGGGCCGCACGCGCGCUACACUGAUGCAUGCAACGAGUUUAUAACCUUGGCCUGAAAGGUCUGGGUAAUCUUUUGAACGUGCAUCGUGAUAGGGAUAGAUUAUUGCAAUUGUUAAUCUUGAACGAGGAAUUCCUAGUAAACGCGAGUCAUCAGCUCGCAUUGAUUACGUCCCUGCCCUUUGUACACACCGCCCGUCGCUACUACCGAUUGAACGAUUUAGUGAGGGCCUCGGAUUGGUCUCGGCCCGCUCUUUACCGGGCGGCGCCGUUGGUCGAGAAGACGCUCGAACUUGAUCGUUUAGAGGAAGUAAAAGUCGUAACA
rnacentral:rRNA from 1 species